rnacentral:rRNA from 1 species
AUUGAACGCUGGCGGCAUGCCUUACACAUGCAAGUCGAACGGCAGCACGGGGCAACCUGGUGGCGAGUGGCGAACGGGUGGGUAAUGCAUCGGAACGUACCUUUCUGUGGGGGAUAACGUAGCGAAAGUUACGCUAAUACCGCAUAUUCUGUGAGCAGGAAAGCAGGGGAUCGCAAGACCUUGCGCUGAUUGCGCGGCCGAUGCCAGAUUAGCUAGUUGGUGAGGUAAAGGCUCACCAAGGCGACGAUCUGUAGCGGGUCUGAGAGGAUGAUCCGCCACACUGGAACUGAGACACGGUCCAGACUCCUACGGGAGGCAGCAGUGGGGAAUUUUGGACAAUGGGGGCAACCCUGAUCCAGCCAUGCCGCGUGAGUGAAGAAGGCCUUCGGGUUGUAAAGCUCUUUCGGCCGGGAAGAAAUCGCACGGGCUAAUACCCUGUGUGGAUGACGGUACCGGAAUAAGAAGCACCGGCUAACUACGUGCCAGCAGCCGCCGCCGUAA